GACGAACGCUGGCGGCGUGCCUAAUACAUGCAAGUAGAACGCUGAAGGAGGAGCUUGCUUCUCUGGAUGAGUUGCGAACGGGUGAGUAACGCGUAGGUAACCUGCCUGGUAGCGGGGGAUAACUAUUGGAAACGAUAGCUAAUACCGCAUAAUAGCAGUUGUUGCAUGACAACUGUUUGAAAGGUGCACAUGCAUCACUACCAGAUGGACCUGCGUUGUAUUAGCUAGUUGGUGGGGUAAAGGCUCACCAAGGCGACGAUACAUAGCCGACCUGAGAGGGUGAGCGGCCAAGCUGGGACUGAGACACGGCCCAGACUACUACGGGAGGCAGCAGUAGGGAAUCUUCGGCAAUGGACGGAAGGCUGACCGAGCAACGCCGCGUGAGUGAAGAAGGUUUUCGGAUCGUAAAGCUCUGUUGUAAGAGAAGAACGAGUGUGAGAGUGGAAAGUUCACACUGUGACGGUAUCUUACCAGAAAGGGACGGCUAACUACGUG
rnacentral:rRNA from 1 species